UUUGAAGUAGAAAAUGAAAGAA
rnacentral:snRNA from 1 species